GUUGAACGCUGGCGGCGUGCUUAACACAUGCAAGUCGAACGAUGAAGCCCAGCUUGCUGGGUGGAUUAGUGGCGAACGGGUGAGUAACACGUGAGUAACCUGCCCUUAACUCUGGGAUAAGCCUGGGAAACUGGGUCUAAUACCGGAUAGGAGCGCCUACCGCAUGGUGGGUGUUGGAAAGAUUUAUCGGUUUUGGAUGGACUCGCGGCCUAUCAGCUUGUUGGUGAGGUAAUGGCUCACCAAGGCGACGACGGGUAGCCGGCCUGAGAGGGUGACCGGCCACACUGGGACUGAGACACGGCCCAGACUCUACGGGAGGCAGCAGUGGGGAAUAUUGCACAAUGGGCGCAAGCCUGAUGCAGCGAGGCCGCGUGAGGGAUGACGGCCUUCGGGUUGUAAACCUCUUUCAGUAGGGAAGAAGCGAAAGUGACGGUACCUGCAGAAGAAGCACCGGCUAACUACGUGCCAGCAGCCGCGGUAAUACGUAGGGUGCGAGCGUUAUCCGGAAUUAUUGGGCGUAAAGAGCUCGUAGGCGGUUUGUCGCGUCUGUCGUGAAAGUCCGGGGCUUAACCCCGGAUCUGCGGUGGGUACGGGCAGACUAGAGUGCAGUAGGGGAGACUGGAAUUCCUGGUGUAGCGGUGGAAUGCGCAGAUAUCAGGAGGAACACCGAUGGCGAAGGCAGGUCUCUGGGCUGUAACUGACGCUGAGGAGCGAAAGCAUGGGGAGCGAACAGGAUUAGAUACCCUGGUAGUCCAUGCCGUAAACGUUGGGCACUAGGUGUGGGGACCAUUCCACGGUUUCCGCGCCGCAGUAACGCAUUAAGUGCCCCGCCUGGGGAGUACGGCCGCAAGGCUAAAACUCAAAGGAAUUGACGGGGGCCCGCACAAGCGGCGGAGCAUGCGGAUUAAUUCGAUGCAACGCGAAGAACCUUACCAAGGCUUGACAUGUUCUCGAUCGCCGUAGAGAUACGGUUUCCCUUUGGGGCGGGUUCACAGGUGGUGCAUGGUUGUCGUCAGCUCGUGUCGUGAGAUGUUGGGUUAAGUCCCGCAACGAGCGCAACCCUCGUUCCAUGUUGCCAGCACGUCGUGGUGGGGACUCAUGGGAGACUGCCGGGGUCAACUCGGAGGAAGGUGUAGACGACGUCAAAUCAUCAUGCCCCUUAUGUCUUGGUCUUCACGCAUGCUACAAUGGCCGGUACAAUGGGUUGCGAUACUGUGAGGUGGAGCUAAUCCCAAAAAGCCGGUCUCAGUUCGGAUUGGGGUCUGCAACUCGACCCCAUGAAGUCGGAGUCCGCUAGUAAUCGCAGAUCAGCAACGCUGCGGUGAAUACGUUCCCGGGCCUUGUACACACCG
rnacentral:rRNA from 1 species